UACGUAGGUGGCAAGCGUUGUCCGGAAUUAUUGGGCGUACAGCGCGCGCAGGCGGCCUCUUAAGUCUGAUGUGAAAGCCCCCCGGCUCAACCGGGGAGGGCCAUUGGAAACUGGGAGGCUUGAGUAUAGGAGAGAAGAGUGGAAUUCCACGUGUAGCGGUGAAAUGCGUAGAGAUGUGGAGGAACACCAGUGGCGAAGGCGACUCUUUGGCCUAUAACUGACGCUGAGGCGCGAAAGCGUGGGGAGCAAACAGG
rnacentral:rRNA from 1 species